rnacentral:rRNA from 1 species
GACGAACGCUGGCGGCGUGCUUAACACAUGCAAGUCGAACGGAAAGGCCCUGCUUUUGUGGGGUGCUCGAGUGGCGAACGGGUGAGUAACACGCGAGUAACCUGCCCUUGACUUUGUGAUAACUUCAGGAAACUGGGGCUAAUACCGGAUAGGAGCUCCUGCUGCAUGGUGGGGGUUGGAUAGUUUCGGUGGUUGGGGAUGGACUCGCGGCUUAUCAGCUUGUUGGUGGGGUAGUGGCUUACCAAGGCUUUGACGGGUAGCCGGCCUGAGAGGGUGACCGGCCACAUUGGGACUGAGAUACGGCGCAGAAGCGUAGGGGAGGGAGCAGUGGGGAAUAUUGCACAGUGGGGGGGAGCCUGAUGGAGCGGCGCCGCGUGCGGGAUGAAGGCCUUCGGGUUGUAAACCGCUUUCGCCUGUGACGAAGCGGGAGUGACGGUAAUGGGUAAAGAAGCACCGGCUAACUACGUG